UACAGAGGUCCCAAGCGUUGUUCGGAUUUACUGGGCGUAAAGGGUGCGUAGGUGGCGAGGUAAGUUUGAUGUGAAAUCUCCGAGCUCAACUCGGAAAUGGCAUUGAAUACUAUCCCGCUUGAGGGUCGGAGGGGAGACUGGAAUUCUCGGUGUAGCAGUGAAAUGCGUAGAUAUCGAGAGGAACACCAGUGGCGAAGGCGAGUCUCUGGACGACUCCUGACACUGAGGCACGAAAGCGUGGGGAGCAAACAGG
rnacentral:rRNA from 1 species